UAAUUAUUGGGGACAGUGUUUUCCAUAAUUU
rfam:Sarcophilus harrisii ctg7180001595994, whole genome shotgun sequence.